rnacentral:rRNA from 1 species
UACGAAGGGGGCUAGCGUUGCUCGGAAUUACUGGGCGUAAAGCGCACGUAGGCGGCUCUUUAAGUCGGGGGUGAAAUCCUGGAGCUCAACUCCAGAACUGCCCUCGAUACUGUAGAGCUUGAGUUCGGGAGAGGUGAGUGGAACUGCGAGUGUAGAGGUGAAAUUCGUAGAUAUUCGCAAGAACACCAGUGGCGAAGGCGGCUCACUGGCCCGAUACUGACGCUGAGGUGCGAAAGCGUGGGGAGCAAACAGG